rnacentral:sRNA from 1 species
GUCAGCGGGUCUGGCCUGAAGUGCUGGGGGUUGGGACAAAAGGAAGCGCUGGUCUGACACAGGAUUGCCCCUGCACUGACCUCCUCUGCAAGGCCGAGUGAGCAAGAUAUAUUUUUCCCCUCUUGGACUCGGACCUUAGAGAAAGAAGAACCACCUCUUCCAGCCCAGCCCAGCCUAAGAAAAGAUACAUCAAUAUCCUCAAUAUCAGGGACACUGACCGGGUGAAGGACGGAGCCCUCUGCUUCGUUAUUUCUGCUUGACGGACUGAGGAGUUCUUCCUACACACUGGUAAGCAGAGGCCAAGGACUCUGGACACAGCAACAAUCUAGAAGCUGUUGGACAGUGAACAACUUCUGGUUACCUUGUUCACCUGCAGGGAGAAGUACCUACAGACAGGCUUUCCAGACCCACAGCAAGCCUAACCACCGUGGAACACAGGAAAGAAGUAGAAGACAGGAAACAGGAAAGGGCCAAGGUCACAGCAGAGAAGCAACUUCUCGCACACGGACUUUGCCUUAAGUCUUGUUGGCUGGACCACAGAGUAACCCCCUACAAAGGACAUUAGGAAAUAAGCUUCAAGCAAAUGCUACCAUCUGCAGUAAAAUUGAAGUUCUGUCAGGGAAAAGAAGAGAAGGAUGUCAUAUCGAAGAGCAUCACCAGGAUCUCUCCGCUGGACUUUCCAUCCCUUGGUUUCAGGAAAUAGUUUCUGGUGCUAAAAAACACAAAAGCCCAGUUCUAGAGCAUAGUGGCAGGCCCUGGCUGCUAAGCCAUCCUGUCUCUGUGGGGAGAGCAGAGAGAAGGCUUCAGCCAUGUUACAGAGUGACUGUGUACAGGAGCUGUGAACACGCAGGGGAGAGGCCCAAUACACACAGGACAGCAGGGAAUCCUAUUAACUAUCAAGUGACACCCCAAGAAUAAGGAUGAUGAAGCAUUCUGACUGGAGUACAAAACCAGGGACAGCAGGGAUACAUGAGGCUGGGGAGAGACUGGAAAACCAAGUGUCGUACAAAGAAUGGAGGCCUUAUCCCCAGAGCACAGGGACAGCCACUGAAGACUUCUGAGUAGCAGGGGCUCUGAGCUGAUCUGCAUUCCCCAUAAGCCCAUCUGGCAACCAGAUGAGAGAGGAAAGGGGCGAGAUCCAGAAAGAGUUCCAGGAGCAGAGAUAUGAACUUGGACUGUGCAAGAGGUAGGGAGAAAAAAUUCAGGAGACGGCACUCAUGUGCCUGUGGUACACACGUCAGUGAGGAGUCCCACCACUCCUCUCACACACACAGUGCUUGCCACAUUCAUCCCCAGCAGAGAGGACCCAGAAGGACUAGCAGCCAUGGGGAAAGCCAGUGGUGUCCUAAGGAUUCACUUUGAGUUCACCCAGUUUGAACUACAUACAGGUAAAGAUGGGCAGCCGGAGUCUAAGUAUUUAUCCUUAUGCCCACAGAUGAUUGUAGCUCCCGUCUCUCACCAGAUAACUCUUCUGUGCAACAGAUGGACACCAUUCCAGAAAACCACCACUGGUCAAAGCACAGAGGGCAAGCGAUCGUGGCUGUUAAGUCCCAGGUGACACAUGUGCAUCCCAACUGUGUCACUGAAGACUCCUGGAACAUUCUGGAAGAUGUGGCGGAGGGCUUCAUUCUAAGAGCCAAAGGACCAGGAAGUCAGCUGUGAGACUGUCUCCUAGAAACAAAAGGGAAGCAUCUCUCUUGAUACUCAACAUUAUCAGUGUCUAAACAAGACCUGCUUGAGGAUGACAGCAGCAGCAGAUGUCCUAACAGAGAAAGAGGAAAUCUCACAGGCCCCACCCAUAGGCAAAGAACUACAGGCAGCUAAGGAAUUCGGAGAAAAAAGUCUUCCCCAAGGAGGAGCCUUACACUUGGCUACCCAAUGCCAAGUGGUCAGCCUUGAAAUCAUAUACAUACGAGUAACAUCAAAUGGACUGAACCGGUUGGGUUUACAUUUAUCUAUUUACAUUGUAUGUGUGUGUGUGUGUGUGUGUGUGUGUGUGUGUGUGUGUGUGUGUGCCAUGAGUUUGAGAGGGACCAGAGGAAGCGUUAGAGGGAAUAGAAGAACAGGAGAACAUGAUAUUAUAUUUCUUUUAAAUUAAAAUAAAUACUUUUGAAAGUGGGCAGCUGGUAGGUGGCUAUGCUGACUCAUUGCCCAGGAUAGACACAGAAGUCAAGAAAAGGGUGGGUGGAGGUACGCCAGCCCUCCGGGAAGGAGGAUGUCUCCCAGUGAGAGUGUGAGGAGAAGGACAUCCAGAAACGAAUGCAGCAACAUCUGCCCAAGAAAUAGAACCAGAGCGGAGGAAGGUAGGCCAGGGGAGAGAGUUGCCGGUAGAGACCAGAGGUCAUGUUCAAAGAGGAAGACUGAAGACCGACCAUGCUGUGAACAAGGUAUGACCUAAGGGGCAGCUACUGAGCUGACCAGGUCCUGCACUGAGGACCCAAGCAAGGGUGUCUCCAGCGGAUGAUAUGGUUGAAGGCCAGAUUCUGUGGGUGCAGGAGAACCCAGGAUAGAGAAAGUGUAAACGCACGGUGUUCCUGAUUUUUUUUUACUCACCGGUCACAAUUGGGUCAAAUUGUGUGAUGACUAAAGGCAAAAGUCUUUCUUGUAUAUGUUUUACUAUCUUAACUACUUUUUAUUUGUUCUCUCACAGUGACACACACACACACACACACUUACUUUGGCCACAUCUCCCCACCUCCCAGUAUCCUCUCUUCCCUCUCCUCUCUCACUAAACCCUUUCAUGCUCCCAGCAACCCCCUCCUACUUUCAUAUUUUUCUCUCUGCUGUUGCUAAUUUGUUUUUGUUUUGUUUCCUUGUGACCCACUGAAUUUAAUUAGGGCUACCCGCACGAGCAUGGGUGGGGAGUUAUUUACUCGAGCAAGAACAACCUUCCAGUAGCUAGCCCACUGAGGACUGUGACUCUCUCUGCCUCAGCAACCAUUAAUUGCCUGUGGUUCCUCAGGGAGGGGUGGGACCUUGUGAGCCCCUCCCUUGUCCAUGAUGGAAUGUUGUGAGUUCAUGAUGCAAAAGCCAUGUCCUGUCCAGAAGACAGCAUUUAUGGUACUCCUUCUCGCCCUUGGGCUGUCCUGUCUAGUGCUUUGUGCUCAAUGGUCACUUAGCCAUCUGAGUCUCUCCACUCACUGAGGAUGCUUCUCUAACCAAGGCCAAGUACUGAUGUAUGGUAAAAACAGUAUUUAAAAGGCACUUUGACACCAUGUCCAUCUAGCAAAACAAAAGUAACAGGUUCUCCCUCUAAGGCCUAUGAUCUCCUUAGCCGUGGGUUUUUGACCAGGUUUACAGUACCUGGUCUGGAUUCCUCCUGCGAAGCAGGUCUACAAGCCAAUAAGAAAGUGGUUGGUUGGGGUUGGGGAUUUAGCUCAGUGGUAGAGCGCUUGCCUAGCAAACGCAAGGCCCUGGGUUCGGUCCUCAGCUCCGAAAAAAAGAAAGUGGUUGGUUGGCCACGACAGUCACACCACUACUGCUUGGUGGUGUAACUCUCGGGGUUCGCACUAGAAUAGGACCAUUGAUGGCAUUCCUUCUCCAGUGCCUGUACGGCACUUAGAGCCUUUGAGCACUCAGAGACCAGCCGGCAGUAAGACGCUCCUAGUUCAGGUUCAGAUUGAUGUCGCUAUAUCCUGCAACUGAAGUGUAAGACACCUUCAGCAAUAUGGUCUUUAUCAACUAGUUCUAGUGGGCCAUUCAGAGCAAUGGCUGUGGCCUGAAUUGUUUUGAGAGCCCUUCGGUCCUUCCCGGCCAACAAUUCAUGAGGCGAUACCCUACCCAAUUUUAUAUCUUUAUUUAACACAUACUUCUAACGAUGGGAAUUCAUUUAAUACUCUAAAUAAUCCAAUGAAAGAAUCCUAGAGAGAUGGUUCAGUGAUUAAGCGUGAGUACAGCUUUUGCAGAGGACUAGAGUUCAGUUCCCAGCACCCAUGUCAGAUGACUCACAGCUGCCUGUAACUACAGUGGGGGGGGGUCUAGUACCCUCUUCUGGCUGCCUCGAGCAACUGCACGUACACGCACAUACCCUCACACAGACACACGUACAUACACAUAAUGAACAACAAAUCUUUUUUUAAAAAGAAAGAA